rnacentral:lncRNA from 1 species
AUAAAGUUGACGUUUUUUAUUUAUUUAUUUAUUUUUGAGACAGGGUCUUCCUCUGUCACCCAGACUGGAGUGCACCAGUGCGACCCUAGCUCACUGUAACCUCGAAUCUUUGGGCUCAAGCGAUCCUGCUGCAGCAUCCAGAGUAGCUAGGUCUACAGGCACAUGCUACCAAGUUCAGUUAAAUGUUUUUCUUUUUGGUAGAGA